GGAUUAGAUACCCGGGUAGUCCAGCUGUAAACUAUGCAAACUCAGUGAUGCAUUGGCUUGUGGCCAAUGCAGUGCUGCAGGGAAGCCGUUAAGUUUGCCGCCUGGGAAGUACGUACGCAAGUAUGAAACUUAAAGGAAUUGGCGGGGGAGCACCACAAGGGGUGAAGCCUGCGGUUCAAUUGGAGUCAACGC
rnacentral:rRNA from 1 species